rnacentral:rRNA from 1 species
UACGUAGGGUGCAAGCGUUGUCCGGAAUUAUUGGGCGUAAAGAGCUCGUAGGCGGUCUGUCGCGUCGGAUGUGAAAAUCCAGGGCUCAACCCUGGACCUGCAUUCGAUACGGGCAGACUAGAGUUCGGUAGGGGAGACGUGGAAUUCCUGGUGUAGCGGUGAAAUGCGCAGAUAUCAGGAAGAACACCGAUGGCGAAGGCAGCUCUCUGGGACGGUACUGACGCUGAGACGCGAAAGCGUGGGGAGCGAACAGG